rnacentral:lncRNA from 1 species
CAUUAGUAUAAUUACAUAGGUGAUUAUUGAAGAUUCUCCACGCUGAUUGGUUACCGUUGAGGUGAUUAUUACGCGAUAAUCACCUAAGCGAUUUUCAAAAUGGCGGCCGAAGCCGUUUUGUCAAUUAAAAGACAAAGAAAUGUGCAUUUUUAAAUUUUUUUCCCAAAUAAUCACCUAUGAAAUUAUACUAAAACAAUUAUUCACCUCAGGCUCGGUGAUUAUCGGGAAUAAAAACCUCGACUUCGUCUCGGUUUUUAUUCACCGAUAAUCACCUCGCCUUCGGCGAAUAAUU